GGUUCUGUGGCUCCACUGGAAACAGUAGCCCCCUCCUAAGGGGCAGGUUGCAGGUUCGAAUCCUGCCGGGGUCGCCA
rnacentral:tRNA from 1 species